GAUGAACGCUGGCGGCGCGCCUAAUACAUGCAAGUCGAGCGAACAGACCAGGAGCUUGCUCCUCUUACGUUGGCGGCGGACGGGUAAGUAACACGUGGAAAACCUACCUACAAGCCCGAGAUAACUUCGGGAAACCGGAGCUAAUACCGGAUAAUAUAUUGGACCGCAGGGUUCAAUAGUUAAAGACGGUUUUGCUUUUACUUAUUGAUGGUUAGGGGCCGCAUUAGCUAGUUGGUAAGGUAACGGUUUACCAAGACAACGAUGGCUAGCCGGCCUGCGAGGGUGAUCGGCCACACUGAAACUGGGACACGGUCCAGACUCCGACGGGAGAGAGCAGUAGGGAAUGUGACGAAAUGGGCGAGGGCCGGACGGAGCAGCGGCGCGGGAGUGAGGGAGGUCUUCGGAUCGUAGAACUCUGCUACUAGGGAAGAACAAAUGUGUACGUAACUAUGAACGUCGUGACGGUAGUGGAUGAGAAAGCCACGGCUAACUACGUG
rnacentral:rRNA from 1 species